AAGUUCCUUCAGAGUACCUUAUAGCAUGUGCUCGCAAACUUGUGUUGCGUCCCUGCCAGAACGAACAUCAGGGAAAGAAAUUACUCCGGAAAAUGAACUCGAUUAAGACAUUGAUCAAUAGACAUCUCUUAUAUAUCUCACCUAAAGGGGCUAUUACACUGGGCAAAUCUUCCGUGGACCUUCAGUCAAACCAGGAUUUCCGCUGGCGAGGUUCUCAUAUUUCCGUAGUUUUCUGCCGUGUCCACGAUCUUCCAAAGCUACGGUAGAUUUCACUGAAGGACGACGGUAUUACUCACCAUCAGCAGCAGCAAUAACAAGAAACAAAUGAGAACCACGCCAGCGGAAAUCGUGGUUUGACUGAAGAUAAACGGAAAAUUUGCCCGGUGUAAUAGCCCCUCAAGUUUCUUCAGAGUACCUUAUAGAAUGGGCAGCAUACUCUUGUUGCAGGUCAUUUUCCGAACAAUUUUUUCAAGGCAUAGGUUAGCGAUAGUUUUUAAAUGGUACGACUUUUCUCAAGGCUAAAAAUCAUUCCUCAUUUGAACUUAGCAUAGCCGGGGGGAAGGGAGGGAGGGGAUGGGGGCGCUGUUGUCGUCUGGGAAAAGGGAGGGGCGGGGGUCGGUGAUAGCCUGGGAGAAGGGGGGGGGUCUCUUAUAAGGGUGGGGAGGGUUGUGGCUCUUAAAUGAAAUCAAGACUAUAAGGUUCUCUGGAAAUUUAGCAGUUAUAAAAAUGAAGUUCUCAAAAUAAAGAUUGGUCUAAACUCUUUACUCAGACAAUAACUCAUUUCUGUCACUCUUCCUCCCUUGCUGUGAGAACUGGCUGCAACGUUCCACACAAACGCACGAACACACCCCCGACGAACAUACCCACGCAGCACAUGGGUCGCCUCUUACAAGCUACACACCAUGGAGGUACACUUCCAACACGGCGAAGAAAAUAUAUUCACAUGAUGCAGACGUUGAACGGAGAGACAACCAACCUCGCACCCUCUCUGUGGCCCCUUGUAACAUCAGGGCGUGUUCUCCCAUCUGUGCACACCCUCUCAAAUAGCUCUCUCACACCAGGAAAACAAGACGACAUGUGCUUUUGAGAACUGAGCUGAGGAAUGAAAAUAAUCCUACCAAUUAAAGAACGUAAAGAAGUAAAGAUGGUCUCUGGUAAAUUCUCCAGUCUGUACGCUCCCUCCAAUUAGCGCCCACACCAGGAAAACAAGGCGAUAUGUGCUUUUGAGAACUGAGCUACGGAAUAAAAAUAAUGCUACCAGAGAACGUAAAGAAGUAAAGAUGGUCUCUGGUAAAUUCUCCAGUCUGUGCACACCCUUUCAAAUAGCUCUCACACCAGGAAAACAAGGCGAUAUGUGCUUUUGAGAACUGAGCUGAGGAAUAAAAAUAAUGCUUCCAGAGAACGUAAAGAAGUAAAGAUGGUCUCUGGUAAAUUCUCCAGUCUGUGCACACCCUUUCAAAUAGCUCUCACACCAGGAAAACAAGACAAUAUGUGCUUUUGAGAACUGAGCUGAGGAAUAAAAAUAAUGCUUCCAGAGAACGUAAAGAAGUAAAGAUGGUUCUGCUAAGUUUUCAAGUCUGUGCACACCCUUUCAAAUAGCUCUCACACCAGGAAAACAAGGCGAUAUGUGCUUUUGAGAACUGAGCUGAGGAAUGAAAGUAAUGCUGUCAAAGAACGGGAAGGUGGGUGAUAAGUUUUCCAGUCUGUACGCUCCUUCCAAUUAGCGCCCACACCAGGAAAACAAGGCGACGUGCUUUUGAGAUCUGAGCUGAGGAAUGAAAGUAAUGUUGUCAAAGAACGGGAAGGUGGGCGGACAAGGGUAAAGAAG